rnacentral:rRNA from 1 species
UACGGGAGGCAGCAGUGGGGAAUAUUGCACAAUGGGCGCAAGCCUGAUGCAGCCAUGCCGCGUGUAUGAAGAAGGCCUUCGGGUUGUAAAGUACUUUCAGCAGUGAGGAAGGUGGAUAUGUUAAUAGCAUAUUCAUUUGACGUUAGCUGCAGAAGAAGCACCGGCUAACUCCGUGCCAGCAGCCGCGGUAAUACGGAGGGUGCGAGCGUUAAUCGGAAUUACUGGGCGUAAAGCGCAUGCAGGUGGUUUGUUAAGUCAGAUGUGAAAGCCCGGGGCUCAACCUCGGAAUUGCAUUUGAAACUGGCAAACUAGAGUACUGUAGAGGGGGUAGAAUUUCAGGUGUAGCGGUGAAAUGCGUAGAGAUCUGAAGGAAUACCGGUGGCGAAGGCGGCCCCCCUGGACAGAUACUGACACUCAGAUGCGAAAGCGUGGGGAGCAAACAGGAUUAGAUACCCUGGUAG